AAUGCCGUUCUGAUGGGAAAACCUGACCUGAGUCAUCUCAUGACGUGCAUUUCCUUUUGUCUCCCUUUACUACCUGCUGCCUCCUGGAUUCGGCAAAAAUUGCAGCUUCCAAACCACUCUGGAGCUGAGGACUGGCUGCAUCAGGAUUCUCUUCCCUUCCAUUGAGCUACCCUCCUUCCAGAGGCAGAGCAGGCUAACCUGAGUGGAAGAAUCAGUCUGUGUAAUGAGGAUAUAAGUUGGGUCUGCAGUGUCUAAAGCCAGGCACACAGGAACUGAAAGCAGGGCCCUUGGUGCCAGCAUCACUACCUCAUCUUUUGAUCCAGACACAGGAUGGAAGUCUCAGGGAAGAGUGUUCCUUUUAACCAAAACAUUAUUUUCAUUUUAAAUUCUGUCUCUAUGUCUAUGUCUCUGUCUCUGUCUCUCUCUCGCUUACAGAUCCUCUGCAAUUCAAUCUUAACACCAAGCCUACUGUCCAGCCUAGGAGAAAAUGUUCUGAGAGACAGAGCUGCUGGGUGCUAGGGCAGGUGUUUGAAGGAUUCUUUGCUGUACUGUGGGUACCUGUCUCAGGGGUUUUUAUGGUUUCAGAAAAGAAAUUUAAAAUGCAUAAGUUGGAUCUUUGUUUCUCUACAGAUGAGGCAAAUUUUUUCCCUCUGUCAAUUUCGAGGUUUGUCCUUGCUUUUGCCUUUUAUUAGCCUAAAUAUAAUGUGUUUUGUUUUAAAAGUUAGUCCUUUUCCUUGCUUUGUGUGAUAGUUGUCAUUAAUUUAGAUGCUUCUCCUCCCUUUUCAGUGUCCUGUGAUGUGUAUGGUCUUCUGUUUUCAGGUAUCACAAUAGUUUUGCAUUCUUCUUUCUCCUUUCCCUGCCUCUUUUCCCUGUCUUACUCAUUCUCUUCUCCUCUUCCUAUUUUGUUUCCUUUGUUUGCUUAAGUUUGACCCAUAGUCAUAGCUUCUUUCCUUAACUAUGGUGAAAAAAACACAAAAGAGGGAUGUUUUUGGUUGUUGGUUCAUUUCUAAUAUUUCCUUGAUAAAAAUGCCAAUCUGAUAUGCAUGGUGUCCAAAUUGUCUUUCUAAUUUCUUUUCUGGAAGUUUCAAAAUCUCUCUCUCUCUCUCUCUCUCUCUCUCUCUCUCUCUCUCUCUCCUCUCUCUCUCCUCUCUGUCUCUUUGUCUCUCUCUGACUAUCUCUGUCUCUGUCUGUCUCUCUCUGUGUGUCUCUGUCUGUCUCUGUUUCUGUCUCUGUCUGUCUGUCUGUUUGUCUCUCUGUCCCCCCCACUUGUGGAUGUAUGCAUGGCAGAACCCUAUCUAUCUAUCUAUCUAUCUAUCUAUCUAUCUAUCUAUCUAUCUAUCUAUUAUUAACUAUCUAUCUAUCUAUCUAUCUAUCUAUCAUUAACUAUCUAUCAUUAUCUAUCUAUCAUCUAUCUAUCUAUCUAUCUAUCUAUCUAUCUAUCUAUCUAUCUAUCUAUCAUCUACCUAUCACAUCUAUCUAUCAUCUAUUCAUCCAUACACUUCUAUUGGUGGUGCUAUCUCUUUAAAGUGUGUUUUAAAUCUUUUGCAUAUGAUUUAUAAUUUUUGCUGAAAGACAUACAUUUUGCAUAAGAUAUUUGAGGCUAAGGUUAGUGGUUUAUAUACUUGAAAAGAAUGAGACUUUCCUUCUAGCAAAACCUUGGAUUGAAGCUUUGCACAAACCUACCUGGGUAUUAUGCCAAGUUUUCAAUUCAUUGUUGGCAGUUACCAAAACGCUUUGCCUGCUUUGACUUCCUCAAGCCCUAUAAGAUCCCGGGACUUCAUUUGCUAACAUCUAACACACCAUCAGUGUCAGACCUUCCCCCUUUUAACUAGAUAGGCUUCCUCAUGUUCUCAUCCCUCUGCAAUCUGUUCCCUCUGUUCAAUGAUUCUUAGCUUUGUAGUGGAAAUCACCACUCUCUUUUCUUUUGUCUGACCUCAGUCUUAUAAAUGUGCUUGCUGUCUGUGCUUCGGUGUUGAGAUUUUCCUACUGCUGCUGCUCUUCUUUUGCAGCUAUGUAGUCAAGAUUAUCUAGAGGAACAGACCCAAC
rnacentral:lncRNA from 1 species